UAUAUAUUAAAUAUAGGCUUGUUUUACUCCAAUGUUUUUAAACAAACACUGUAUAGACUCAACAUGGUUCAAACUAUAAUUGUGAUAUCAUGGAUGGUCAGUCCUUGCAUCCAUAGUUCAGUCUAUGAAUUUGAGUGGAUUCAUUUCUUUAUGCCCAUCCCUCAGAUUUUUUUUUUAACCAAAACAGAGGCGAGGUGAUUACAUUGUUUUUAAAUGAAGGAUUUUUUAGAUGUAAAUGAUCCUCGUGGAGUUUUUCUAUUUUACUUGAAGUUAUUUUGUUUAACUUUCCAGCCUGAAAAGAUUUGGUCGUCUUGGUUUGGUCGGGUUCUGACGGUUUGAGUGUUGAUCUUCAUGCACGUCAAAGAACUUUUCAUCCGUCUGCAUGCUAAAUGAGUCAACCCUUGAUCGUGUUUAGUUAGGAAAACGUUUUAAAUGUGUUUGUAACUGAUUCAUUUUUUUGUCCGGUUUCUUAUUAGGAAAAAACGGAUUGUCUUCUGUUUGGUGCCUAUUAGAACACCACCCUGUUCUUUCUUGAAACUGUUUCAUAUUGUACAUUACAAUACUCUUUGCACAAGUUUUAACUUCUGAGAUACUGCUCAUGAUCCCUCUGGGUAAAUGUAUGGAUGCACGCUGUGAGAAUAACUGGGUAAUAUUACUUUUUUUAUUUGAAAUGCAUAGCUGUUCCAGUAUGUCAGAAAUUAUUCUGGACUGGUUUCAUUUUUGUGACCAAAUGUGGAUUUAAAUAAAAAAAAAAGUGAUUUUGCCAAUUUGUGUGAAUGGAAUUGGUCAUACUUUGUAACAUCUGCCUAUGUAAAAAGGACUUUAUAAAUACAUUUGAUUGAUUGAAAAUAAGAAUUUGUUCUCGACUUGCUUAGUUAAAUAAAGGUAAAAAUACAUUUUAAAAAAGCAGUAUUUUGUCUUUCCUGAUGACCGACACACUAAAUUCUUCCGCUGCUCAAUGUUCGCUACACACCUCAGUCUGAGACUGCUAUCGUUGAAGUCGUUUGUGGUGACGAGGGGUCUGAGAGGUGUUGUACAAAACAAAGUCAUCAGUGAUUCUACCAAUCAGGGUAUUAAAGCCAAUGAUGAAU
rnacentral:lncRNA from 13 species